UUUACUUUGAAACUGCGAAUGGCUCAUUAUAUCAGUUAUAGUUUAUUUGAUAGUCCCUCACUACUUGGAUAACCGUAGUAAUUCUAGAGCUAAUACAUGCAUCAACGCCUGACGUAAGAAAGGCUGUAUUUAUUAGAUUGAAACCUUCUGUCUUUGACAAGUAAUGGUGAUUCAUAAUAACUUUGCGAAUCGCAUGGCAUUUGCUGGCGAUAGAUGAAAAAAGCUUCUGCCCUUUUAGCUUUGAUGGUAGUGUAUUGGACUACCAUGGCAGUGAUGGGUAACGGAGAAUUAGGGUUUGAUUCCGGAGAGGUGGCCUGAGAGACGGCCUCCACAUCCAAGGAAGGCAGCAGGCGCGUAAAUUACCCAAUUUCGACACGAAGAGGUAGUAACGAUAAAUAACGAUGCCGGGAUCGCAAGAUUCUGGCAAUUGGAAUGAGAACAAUUUAAAUCCCUUAUCAAGGAUCAAUUGGAGGGCAAGUCUGGUGCCAGCAGCCGCGGUAAUUCCAGCUCCAAUAGCGUAUAUUAAAGUUGUUGCAGUUAAAAAGCUCGUAGUCGGAUUUCUGGUUGAAGGGAUCUGUCUUGCCUAACGGCAAGAACUGUGUCCCUUUGACCAUCCUUGGACAGAUCCUACCUGGUAUUAACUUAUUGGGUUGGCUAAGUUCAACACUUACUGUGAGAAAAUUAAGGUGUUCAAAGCAGGCUUAUGCCUGAAUAUAUUAGCAUGGAAUAACAAUAUAGGACCUCGGUACUAUUUUGUUGGUUUGCGCACUGGGGUAAUGGUCAAUAGGGACAGUUUGUGGGUAUUGGUAUUCCAGUGUCAGAGGUGAAAUUCUUAAAUUACUGGAAGACUAACUACUGCGAAAGCAUUUACCAAGGAUGUUUUCAUUGAUCAAGAACGAAAGUUAGGGGAUCGAAGAUGAUUAGAUACCAUCGUAGUCUUAACCAUAAACUAUGCCAACUCUGGAUGGGUGAGUGUCUCUUGACUUCAUCUGCACAGUAUGAGAAAUCAAAGUCUUUGGGUUCCGGGGGGAGUAUGGUCGCAAGACUGAAACUUAAAGAAAUUGACGGGAGGGCACCACCAGUAGUGGAACCUGCGGCUUAAUUUGACUCAACACGGGAAAACUUAUCAGGUCCAGACAUAGUGAGGAUUGACAGAUUGAGAGCUCUUUCUUGAUUCUAUGGGUGGUGGUGCAUGGCCGUUUUUAGUUGGUGGAGUGAUUUGUCUGGUUAAUUCCGUUAACGAACGAGACCUCAGCCUGCUAAAUAAUAUGGUUAAUAACUUUAUUGAUCAUGUUUCUUAGAGGGACAUGGAAUUAUCAAAUUCCCGGAAGAGUGAGGCAACAACAGGUCUGUGAUGCCCUUAGAUGUUCUGGGCUGCACGCGUGUUACAAUGACACAUUCAACGAGCUCUUCCUUGGCCGAGAGGCCUGGGUAAUCUUUUAAACGUGUGUCGUGUUAGGGAUCGAUUAUUGCAAUUAUUAAUCGUGAACGAGGAAUUCCUAGUAAACGCAGAUCAUCAAUCUGCAUUGAUUACGUCCCUGCCCUCUGUACACACCGCCCGUCGCAUCUAUCGAUUGGAUGGUCCGGUGAAAUCUCGGGAUUGUGAAUCUAUCUUCGGACGGAUUUGCGAGAACUUGCUUGAACCUUAUCAUCUAGAGAAAG
rnacentral:rRNA from 1 species